AUUGAAUGCUGGCGGCAGGCCUAACACAUGCAUGUCGAACGAGUGGCGGACGGGUGAGUAAUGUCUGGGUAACUGCCCGAUGGAGGGGGAUAACUACUGGAAACGGUAGCUAAUACCGCAUACAAUCGGAUGUGCCCAGAUGGGAUUAGCUAGUAGGUGGGGUAAAGGGUAACCUAGGCGACGAUCCCUAGCUGGUCUGAGAGGAUGACCAGCCACACUGGGACUGAGCGACGGUACAGACUCCAACGGAAGGCAGCAGUGGGGAAUAAUGCACAAUGGGAGCAAGCCUGAUGCAGGCAUACCGCGUGUAGGAAGAAGGCCUUCGGGUUGUAAAGUACUUUCAGCGGGGAGGCGGUGCCCGCAGAAGAAGCACCGGCUAACUCCGUGCCAGCAGCCGCGGUAAUAC
rnacentral:rRNA from 1 species